UACGUAGGUGGCAAGCGUUAUCCGGAAUUAUUGGGCGUAAAGCGCGCGUAGGCGGUUUUUUAAGUCUGAUGUGAAAGCCCACGGCUCAACCGUGGAGGGUCAUUGGAAACUGGAAAACUUGAGUGCGGAAGAGGAAAGUGGAAUUCCAUGUGUAGCGGUGAAAUGCGCAGAGAUAUGGAGGAACACCAGUGGCGAGGGCGACUUUCUGGUCUGUAACUGACGCUGAUGUGCGAAAGCGUGGGGAUCAAACAGGAUUA
rnacentral:rRNA from 1 species